GCGCUCGCUUCGGCAGCACACAUACUAAAAUUGGAACGAUACAGAGAAGAUUAGCACGGCCCCUGAGCAAGGAUGACACGCAAAUUCGUGAAGCGGUCCAUGUUUUU
rnacentral:snRNA from 1 species